GGCUCCUAGGUCAUGCUUUACUGAGGUUUGCAUUAUGACACGUUCAUGUCUAUUAUUACUACCCAUUGUAAGCUGCCCUGAGAGUCAUUGGCUCAAAAUGUGGUAUCCAAAUCAAUGAAUGUAGCUAUAAAUAACAAGAAGGGUUCAAGUAUCUUAAUGGCAUUAGAGGCUGUUGGCUGCUGUAUCAAGGGGGAGUUCUGAUAUUUUGCAAUAGUUGGUGCACCCAUUGCAGGUUUUCUGUUUCCUUCCCCAACCCCUGCCUUUCCCCCCUCUUACCUCCUGCAAGAUAGCUGGGAAUCAAUCAAGCCUUUUCAUUUCACUCCCACUUAGCAAGCAUCCUCAUUAUUAAUAAUUGGAUAGCUUAAUUUUAAUUCCAUUUAUUCAAAUCAUUAUUCCGCCCAUUGAUCAAUACAGUGGUAAUUAGAUUAACAAAUACAGAGUGAUUAACGGCCACAGGAAAUGCAGUUUAAUUAAUUUAAAUGAAGCGCUUUCGCUUUUUUUAAAAGGAGGAGGUGAAAACCACCCCAGACCGUUUUAGUUUAUUUAUUCCUCAGGUGGGAGGGGGCUGUAUAGCAUAUCCCAAAUUGAUGCGAGGCUUCCCCAUCCCUAUUAUUUUUAAAUAUUGAAAAUUGAGUUGGGAUCUAAGGUAAAAGUGCAUCCUUCAUGAAAAAGCAGAAGUUUAGGAAAUGCAAAAUGCACAGUAUUGUGAGCUACUGCAGAGGCAGGCAAUCGGUAGCCCUAAGGCCACAAUGAGUAGUACCUACACUCCAUGAAUUUGCUUAAUACCACCCAUGUUGGUAGCCAUUACUGUCUCCAGCAGAAGCAAGUUUUGUAGUUUAACUAUUUGCUGCGUGACUAAAUCCUUUCUUUUUAUUGUUUAGUCAUGUCCGACUCUUCGUGGCCCCAUGGACCAGAGCACGCCAGGCACUCCUGUCUUCCACUGCCUCCCACAGUUUGGUCAAACUCAUGCUGGUAGCUUAGAGAACACUGUCCAGCCAUCUCGUCCUCUGUCGUCCCCUUCUCCUUGUGCCCUCCAUCUUUCCCAACAUCAGGGUCUUUUCCAUGGAGUCUUCUCUUCUCAUGAGGUGGCCAAAGUAUUGGAGCCUCAACUUCAGGAUCUGUCCUUCCGGUGAGCACUCAGGGCUGAUUUCCUUCAGAAUGGAGAGGUUUGAUCUUCUUGCAGUCCAUGGGACACUCAAGAGUCUCCUCCAGCACCAUAAUUCAAAAGCAUCAAUUCUUCGGCGAUCAGCCUUCUUGAUGGUCCAGCUCUCACUUCCAUACAUCACUACUGGGAAAACCAUGGCUUUAACUAUACAGACCUUUGUUGGCAAGGUGAUUUAUCUGCUUUUUAAGACGCUGUCUAGGUUUGUCAUUGCUUUUCUCCCAAGGAGCAGGCGCCUUUCUUUUUACCUGUCCCAAAUCUCCCAUUCAGCUUCAUUGGAAGCUCAUGUGUUCUAGUGCCAGCUCUAUAAUCUCACCUCUUACUCAGCUUUCCUCUCAACUAAGAGGUCCCAACUGCUGCAACCAUUCUUCAUAGGGGACUCGCUCCACCCCCUUGAUCUUUCACAAAGCCCCAGGCCUUUUGCGGGCAGUGCGUGUGGAAAUGGCCUCAGAAUUGCUGGAAAACAUUCAUGGGAGAUUCUAUAAAAUGGUUUUCUUGUUUCACAGGGGUGGGAUGAGAAGAUGAAAUCUCAGAUGUUUCCUCGGGAAAACAUAAGAGAAAUUUCAGCUUGGCUGUUUGCAACGCAUUAAGACAUCUCAAGGAGGUUGUCUUGGCUGAAUCAGACCAUUGGCCCAUCUAAGCCAGUGCAGUCUACAUUGGCUGGCAGCAUCUCUCCAGUCAAGAGACACACCCAGGGCUACCUGGAGAUGCCAGGAAUUGAACCUGGGACCUUCUGAAUGGAAAGCAGAUGCUCUACCACUGAGCUACAGACCUUACUGUAAGACACAGGAACAUAGGAAGCUGCCAUUGGCUCACCUAGUUCAGUAUUGUCUACACUGGCUGGCAGCAGCUCUCCAGGGUUUCAGGCAAAGGAUAAUCCCAGCCCUGCCUAGAGAUGCUGGGGAUUGAACCUGGGACCUUCUGCAUGCAAAGUAGAUAAUAAUAAUAAUAAUAAUAAUAAUAAUAAUAAUUGCACUAAUAAUAAUAAUAAUAAUAAUUGCACUAAUAAUUUCUUUCUUGCACUAAUUUCAUUUUUUUACCUCCAUCCCCCAGGAUUUUGUGUUGUAGCCCCGUUCCUCUCUCCAGCUUCAAUGAGACAUUUCCUUUUGCACUCUCAUCCCACCUUGUGAAUCAUCUCAAGGAAAUGUUAACACAUCUCAUGGGGUCCUCGAUGUCUGGCGUGCCCAAAAUGAGUUAAAACCCCCCCGUCGGUUUUGUGAGAUGCAAAGCAUUGAGCUCGCCGGGAUCGGUCUGUGUGUGUUUUGGGAAAGAGCAGUUGACCCGCUUUCCGGCAAUCUGUAGAAGGCCAGGGCUCCCCCUGGGAAGAUUUUGUGAUUCAUCUUUCUGGGCAUUGAUUCCUGGCCUUGUUUUUCAGACGUUGUUGUUCUCCAAAAUACAGACAAAGACCUUUCGCUACCGCGAACGGAAGACCCAUAAAAUGUCUGCGUUUCAAAAUCGCGUUGUAAUGAGCGUGCCUGGAAAUCACGCGUUUUAAUCCGGGAGGAGUCUAAGCAAAGCUACCUGAAAGGAAUGAGUUUGCUGUGGACUUUCAGGGCGCAACUGAGUAUCUAUAAACAAGAAAUAUCGAUGGAAGUGGUUCCCCUUAUUCCAGAUUAUUGCAAAGUCUGCUACCUGGCAGGGCCAUUAUGUUCCCUCUUCCAGAUAGUGGGAUGCAGUGAUGGGAAAUACUUUUUCUCCUGCUGAUUCCUUUACAAGCAUUCAGCUGCUAAAGUCACAGGAAGCCCCCCUCCCACAAAGAACCCUCCUCAGUUUUGGAGGAUUGGGAGAGGUAAUGGAAGAAAGGGGUUAAGUUUACCGCAUGUACGAUGUUAAAGGAAAAUAUAAUAAAAAUGAUGUAUAGAUGGUAGUUGACCCCUGUCAAAGUAGCAAAGAUUUAUCAUAACUGUGAUAACCUAUGUUGGAAAUGUAAAGAAAAAGAAGGAACUUUUUAUCAUAUGUGGUGGACCUGCCCCAAGGUGAAAGACUUCUGGG